rnacentral:snoRNA from 1 species
GGCUGAUGAUGACUGAAUUAAAGUCUGUAAUUUCUUCAGAUCUAGCCGUUACUCUCCUGAAAGGAGCUGAUUGGUUCGCGAUCCUGAAUUAU